UACGUAGGUGGCAAGCGUUGUCCGGUUUUACUGGGCGUAAAGGGCGUGCAGGCGGUUUGUUAAGUCUAGGGUGAAAGCUCCCGGCUCAACUGGGAGAGGUCCUUGGAUACUGGCAGACUUGAGGAGGGUAGAGGAGAGUGGAAUUCCCGGUGUAGCGGUGGAAUGCGCAGAUAUCAGGAGGAACACCGGUGGCGAAGGCGGGUCUCUGGGCCGACAUUGACGCUGAGGAGCGAAAGCGUGGGGAGCGAACAGG
rnacentral:rRNA from 1 species